rnacentral:rRNA from 1 species
AUGAACGCUGGCGGCGUGCUUAACACAUGCAAGUCGAACGAUGAAGCCCAGCUUGCUGGGCGGAUUAGUGGCGAACGGGUGAGUAACACGUGAGUAACCUGCCCUUGACUCUGGGAUAAGCCCGGGAAACUGGGUCUAAUACCGGAUAGGAGCGCCUGUCGCAUGACGGGUGCUGGAAAGAUCUUUCGGUCAUGGAUGGACUCGCGGCCUAUCAGCUUGUUGGUGAGGUAACGGCUCACCAAGGCGACGACGGGUAGCCGGCCUGAGAGGGUGACCGGCCACACUGGGACUGAGACACGGCCCAGACCCCUACGGGAGGCAGCAGUGGGGAAUAUUGCACAAUGGGCGAAAGCCUGAUGCAGCGACGCCGCGUGAGGGAUGACGGCCUUCGGGUUGUAAACCUCUUUCAGCAGGGAAGAAGCGAAAGUGACGGUACCUGCAGAAGAAGCACCGGCUAACUACGUG